AAACUGACUUGACCCAACCUUCCUGCUCUUGCGCUUGCGCGCACAGUGUUGGUUCGCGAUCUCACCGCACGAAGCCUCCAAAGUCAACGCUGGAUUUGUCUCUGGCUCCUGCAGAUCCUUAAGAAGGUGUUUCGUAUACUUAAGUACCCAAAAAAGAGCAUUUCAGUGUUAUAGGAAGAAAGAAGAAGGACCAACGAGGGACAAAGAGCGUGUGGCGUCAUAAUAUUGACAUAUACAUGUUGUAGGACUUCCGUUUCCGGCGACGAAUAAGACGGCGAGUAGUGAGUGAUAGGGCGAAAAAAGGGCGAGGGUGUCAAUGGGAAGCCGUGAUGGGAAAUCGAUAACGGGCUCGCCAACGAAUUUCCCCUACCACGCACGCACCACAGCCGACUCGGUCUAUCUGUGUCGGCCACGCGCUCGGCAAUCGUCGGCGCGUCGAGCGAGAGAGAGAGAAUAUCAUUCCCUCUUUCUCGCUCUCGUGUUAGCUCGGCGACAUGAGCGAGAAUAUAAUUCCCUCUUUCUCGCUCUCGUUCUCGCUCAGCGACGCGAGUUAGGCUGAUUCUUUUUCGGCUGUAAUCUGAGUCGCGGGCGCGACUAUGACGAUACUGAGAAGUUUUUUCUAUUCGGCGCGCCGAAAUUAUUAUGAAUAUUAUAUUAUUAUUAAUAAUAUUGUUGUUUACAAUAAUAAUAUUAAUAAUAUUCCGCGCCGAGAAAAUGGAAUAUAUUUCAUUAAUUGUUUUGCUGAGACGGACAGGUUCAUAGAUUUGAUUAUUGUUAGGAAUUGUUUAUUAAUAUUUGAAGAAUAAUUUUAAGUUGUAUAAAGAUGUAGAAUAAAAUCUGGAAAAGUAUUGUAACAAAAUCAAGAAGGUACGAAAUGAAACCUUCUUACUUUCAUUACAAUAUCCUCUGAAUUAACAAAUACUCUUCAAACAGUAUUAAACAAUCUUCAAAAACAAUUACAUCCGUGUAUCCGAAAUCUUCUGUCUGCGCGAAAAAAAUUCAUAAAAUAUGUCUGUUUCGCCGCGCUGAAUGAGAAAACCCUCAGAACAAUGUUAUAUUUAAAAUGAUGUACAGUGCAUUAAUAAA